rnacentral:rRNA from 1 species
GAUGAACGCUAGCUACAGGCUUAACACAUGCAAGUCGAGGGGUAACGAGAGGAAAGCUUGCUUUCCUUGUCGACGACCGGCGCACGGGUGAGUAACGCGUAUCCAACCUGCCCCCAACUAGGGAAUAACCUUGCGAAAGUAAGACUAAUACCCUAUAAUUUCCUCAGAUGUCAUCUGACGAGGAAUAAAGAUUUAUCGGUUGUGGAUGGGGAUGCGUCUGAUUAGCUUGUUGGCGGGGUAACGGCCCACCAAGGCAACGAUCAGUAGGGGUUCUGGGAGGAAGGUCCCCCACAUUGGAACUGAGACACGGGCCAAACUCCUACGGGAGGCAGCAGUGAGGAAUAUUGGCCAAUGGGCGGAAGCCUGAACCAGCCAAGUAGCGUGCAGGAUGACGGCCCUAUGGGUUGUAAACUGCUUUUGUACAGGAAUAAAGUUAGCCACGUGUGGUUAUUUGUAGGUACUGUAUGAAUAAGGACCGGCUAAUUCCGUGCCAGCAGCCGCCGUAA